rnacentral:rRNA from 1 species
UACGUAGGUGACAAGCGUUGUCCGGAUUUACUGGGCGUAAAGAGCGCGCAGGCGGUCGAUCAAGUCGAGUGUGAAAGCCCCCGGCUCAACUGGGGAGGGUCAUUCGAUACUGAUCGACUCGAAGGCAGGAGAGGGUAGUGGAAUUCCCGGUGUAGUGGUGAAAUGCGUAGAUAUCAAGAGGAACACCUGAGGUGAAGACGGGUUGCUGGGCUGAUACUGACGCUGAGGCGCGAAAGCUAGGGGAGCAAACGGG